rnacentral:lncRNA from 14 species
UGGCUCAUGGUGUCCCAGGUGGAGCAUCCGUGUUCUGUGUUCCAUGUCCUGGCUGGAGCAUCCAUGUUCCAUGUUCCAUGUCCUGUCUGCAGUGCCAUGUCCCAUGUGCAGCACCCACAUCCAUGUCUAUGCCCUAUGUUCCACAUCCAUGUCCAUGCCCUAUAUCCCACAUCCAUGUCCAUGUCCAUGUGCAGCAUCCAUGUCCCACAUCCAUGUUCCAUGUCCGCAUCCAUGUCCAUGUCCCACAUCCAUGGGAGCACCACAUCCAUGUUCCAUGUUCCAUGUCUAUGUCCCACAUCCAUGUUCCAAGUUCCAUGUCCCACCUCCGUGUUGGUGUCCAUGUCCAUGUGCAGCAUCCACGUCAGUGUCCAUGUCAGCAGCGCCGUGGGGAGCUCGGGUAUCGCUGCCGCAGCUCAGAGCGGAAGCUCCGGAACAGGAUCCGGUUCCGUUCCUGCUCUGCCGCUCGUCCCCCAUGGAACCCGGAGGCCUCCUUGAAGCCAACGUGAACCACGAAGGCUCCGUCCAGCACCGCGAACCGGAACCCAGCCACAUGCAGCUCACAGGCCUGGGGACACAGGGCAUGGCAGGAGCCGGGCACACAGCACACAUAGACACCCAUAGACACACACAGCACACACAGCACCCAUAGACACACACAGCACACACAGCACCCAUAGCACCCAUAGACACCCAUGGACCC